UAGAUACUCCCUCCGUCCGGAAUUACUUGUCGCAAAAAUGAGUAAAAAUGGAUGUAUCUAGAACUAAAAUGCAUCUAGAUACAUCCAUUCCUCCGAUAAGUAUUUCCGGACGGAGGGAGUAUGUG
rnacentral:pre_miRNA from 1 species